rnacentral:lncRNA from 1 species
CUACCCCACCACUGCGCCCGGCUCCCACCCCAGUCCCCGCCGCUCCCCGAAGCUCCCACUCUCUCCCACAGUCCGCCCCCUCCCGCGCCCUUUCUGCCUCUGGCGUUUGGCUCCCUCCUUGCGCCCCCGCUCCGCCGGCAUCCUCUCCACCUCCAGUGCCCAGGUUCCCUGCCGAGCCGAGCGCGUGUUCGCCUUAGCGGGGAGGGGGCCUCGGCGUUCCCUGCCGAGCGCCGGAGCGCCUCGGACAGUCUGUCCGCUGGGGUUGGAGGAGUUCGGCUGCCGGGUUGUUUCUCGGAUCCGGCAGCCUUGCAGAGUGUGUUGUAAAACCCCUCCCCCGUCAAGAGGGGACCCAGCCAGCCUGCGUCCUGCCAGCUCGGGGGACCGGAGGCGGGUGUCAGUGGUUAGAGGAAAACUUUCCAGCAGAGCGCCUUGCCGCCUUGCCGGAGCAAACCUGGCAUCUGUCAAGAACGCUCUCUGUGCGCUCUUCCUGCAAGGAGCUUCUGUUCCAGUGCAGUAGACGCAGAAGGCAAGCGAAGGUUUGUGCAUCUGAACAGCUAACGCUGAGGACCAGUUGGAAAAUCACAGGCUCCUCAGCCCCAGCUAAUUACUACCUCCAGCAGCACCGCUAUAGGCCGCGGCAUAAAGCAGAAAACGCUUCGUUUUAUGCAAAACCGAGGGUGGCAAAGAAGGCAGCUUCCAACGAGUGGAAAUUGGAUAAUUGAAUCAAUGUGUUCUUUUUUAAAAGCGAGAGGAUGUAGUAAAGUAUCUAAUUUGGACUGAGGGCAAGCAGAAUGGCUUCUCAUGUUUCACACUAAAGAUGGCCCCCCAG